ACGCUUACGAUUUUCAGAGAAUGGUUUCCCUUUCAAAAGCAUUAUACUGAUUGACCAUUCAACAAUCCAAAUAAUGAAGCAUACUUGACGGAGGCAAAACAUUUUGCAAUGACUAAAAAUUGUUAUGCUUCAUUCACUACGUCUCUAAGUAUUUAAAUCAAAGAAUACUUUUCAAGCUGUGUUUCAUAACCACUCAAACAAUACGACUAUCCAAGGAAGUUAUAAAAGUAAAGAGUCGCCUUGAAAAAUUAUUUCCCCAUGCGAUGUCAGUUGAAAAGCUGGUUAGACAGCUUCACUUUCAGACAGGCAUGCUGGCUUGGAAACAGUAAGUGCUAGCCAGAUGCUCACGCCAACAGUGACUCAGAGAUAUGCUGUUGCUUCAUGGCAGGGAGGCCAGCGUUGCAGAUAGAUUAGAUUCUGUGGAUGAUGCUGUGGAUGCCGAGCAUACUUUAGGUUUGCAACUUUGCUGACACAAAUUCAAGAGGAAUGUGAAAUGUGACAAAGAAGACUCCUAAUCCAUUUUUCAUUCCAGGAAGGCACCAAUUCACAUAAAGCAGUGGUCUCUGAACUCUUUUCCUCAAUCCCAUAUCCAGUUGUACGAAGCAGCUGGA
rnacentral:lncRNA from 1 species